AAUUAGUUUUUUAAUUGGAAAAUGGAAUGAAAGGUUUUAUUAGGUUGAGGCUUUUUAAACUAUUAAAUUAAAUUUUUAUUUUUAGUGAAAAUACUAAAAUAAUUUUGUUGGACAAAAAGACCCUAUGAAGCUGUAAUUAAUUAGGUUAUUAGUAUGCAGAGGUAUAAUUAUUUUUUGGGGAAAAAAUUAAAAAUAAUAUUAUAAAUAAAUAUAAAUUUAUCCUUUAGGAAAUAUGAAUAAGCUCCUCUAGGGAUAACAGCAUAAUAAUUAAUAAAGUACUUAUUGAAUUAAUUGA
rnacentral:rRNA from 1 species